GAUGAACGCUAGCGGCAGGCUUAAUACAUGCAAGUCGAGGGGCAGCAUGGUGUAGCAAUACACUGAUGGCGACCGGCAAACGGGUGCGGAACACGUACGCAACCUACCCAAAACUGAGGAAUAGCCCGGGAAACCCGGAUUAAUACCUCGUAACAUAAUUGAAUGGCAUCAUUUAAUUAUUAUAGCUCCGGCGGUUUUGGAUGGGCGUGCGCCUGAUUAGGUAGUUGGUGGGGUAACGGCCCACCAAGCCUACGAUCAGUAACUGGUGUGAGAGCACGACCAGUCACACGGGCACUGAGACACGGGCCCGACUCCUACGGGAGGCAGCAGUAAGGAAUAUUGGUCAAUGGACGCAAGUCUGAACCAGCCAUGCCGCGUGAAGGAUGAAGGUCCUCUGGAUUGUAAACUUCUUUUAUAUGGGACGGAACCUGGAAAUUCUUUUCCAAUUGACGGUACCAUAGGAAUAAGCACCGGCUAACUCCGUGCCAGCCGCCGCCGUAAAAC
rnacentral:rRNA from 1 species